GGUGAAGAACGCAGCAAAAUGCGAUAAGUAAUGUGAAUUGCAGAAUUCAGUGAAUCAUCGAAUCUUUGAACGCACAUUGCGCCCGCUGGUAUUCCGGCGGGCAUGCCUGUUCGAGCGUCAUUUCAACCCUCAAACCCCCCGGGUUUGGUGUUGGGGAUCGGCUCUGCCUCACGGCGGUGCCGCCCCCGAAAUACAUUGGCGGUCUCGCUGCAGCCUCCAUUGCGUAGUAGCUAACACCUCGCAACUGGAACGCGGCGCGGCCAUGCCGUAAAACCCCAACUUCUGAAUGUUGACCUCGGAUCAGGUAGGAAUACCCGCUGAACUUAAGCAUAUCAAUAAGCGGAGGA
rnacentral:misc_RNA from 1 species